rnacentral:rRNA from 1 species
UAUUAGUAAGCGGANGAAGAACUAACKAGGAUUCCAUUAGGAGCUSCGAGCGAACAGGGAAAAGCCCAGCASUGAAUCCSGGGGGASUSGAUCCCAGGGAAAUGUAGUGUUYGGGAGGGUMCAUAUACCSGAUACUGGYGSAGCGMGUYCAAGUCCAUCUKGAAAGAGKYCACGGUCCCGAGAGGGUGCCAGGCCCGUGGUAGGCCGGUGCAGGUGUWGGGUGGACCUCUCCUCAGAGUCAGGUUGCUCUGAAGAGGGAGAUUCACGUCUUCUCGCGGGUUCGACGCAUCCGCUCCUCUCCGACGGCCCUGCCCCCGUCCGGACUCGUCCGGUGCGUGGCGGUGGGGUUGCAGAGGGCGGUGUGGAGGCCUGCGGCGGACCGCACUUCUCCCUUAGUAGGACGUCGUGACCCGUCCGGUCAUGGUCUUACGGUUGCAGGGUGGAGCCUGUCCGUUCRWGCUUGCACGUCUUCGGGCAGACCCCCGCAUCCSGSCAAACCCAAAGGMGUAAUGAAAGUGAAGGGAACUUUACKUUUCUGAGGGAGGAUGAGUCGGUUACCCRCAWGGGGCCACUCCSCACUCCCGGGGCGUCUCUUUCUCMUUGCGAGUGGAGGCGCACCCAGAGCGUACACGCUGAUACCCGAAAGAUGGUGAACUAUGCCUGGCCAGGACGAAGCCAGGGGAAACCCYGGUGGAGGUCCGCAGCGAUUCUGACGUGCAAAUCGAUCGUCGGAGCUGGGUAUAGGGGCGAAAGACCAAUCGAACCAUCUAGUAGCUGGUUCCCUCCGAAGUUUCCCUCAGGAUAGCUUGCGCUCACGUGAACGAGUCUCAUCCGGUAGAGCGAAUGAUUAGAGGCCUUGGGGUCGAAACGACCUCAACCUAUUCUCAAACUCCAAAUAGAUGAGAACUCCGGCUUUCUUGAACUCUGUUUUUGAAGCCGGGGGCUCGGAUCAGAGUGCCAAGUGGGCCAAUUUUGGUAAGCAGAACUGGCGCUGUGGGAUGAACCAAACGUCGAGUUAAGGCGCCUAAAUCGACGCUCAUGUGAAACCAUGAAAGGCGUUGGUUGCUUAAGACAGCAGGACGGUGGCCAUGGAAGUCGGAAUCCGYUAAGGAGUGUGUAACAASUCACCUGCCGAAGCAACUAGCCCUGAAAAUGGAUGSCGCUGWAGCGUCGWGCCUAUACUCGACCGUCAMCGGCAWAGAUGGCCGGCGGGCAACCGUCGGCCGUUAAGCCUUGACGAGUAGGAGGGCCGCGGCGGUGUGCGUAGAAGGGUCUGGGCGUGAGCCUGCCKGGAGCSGCCGUCGGUGCAGAUCUUGGUGGUAGUAGCAAAUACUCCAGCGAGGCCCUGGAGGACUGAUGUGGAGAAGGGUUUCUUGUGAACAGCUGUUGCACAAGAGUCAGUCGGUCSUAAGCCSUAGGAGAAAUCCGAAGCGAUGGGUUGCCGUGAACUUKGSUGUUUUGYUGGCACCCGUUUGGGCGAAAGGGAAUCCGGUUCCUAUUCCGGAACCUGGCAGUGGAACCGUUCCAAUUCGGGCCCUCUGAGGACUCGUCAGGGCAACCUGAAUAGACCCGGAGACGCCGACAGGAGGUUGGGGGAGAGUUGUCUCUUCUCUAUAAGCGAUCGAGUUCCCUGGAAACUUCUAGCAAGGAGAUAGGGUUUGGAUCGCGAAGAGCACUGCAGUUACGGCAGUGUCCCAAUCUUCCUCUCGGACCUUGAAAAUCCGGGUGAGGGCCACGAGGAACCCCACGCCAGACCGUACCCAUAUCCGCAGCAGGUCUCCAAGG